UUGAGUGUGCUUGGACUGCCGACAGAGCUUGGUGUUGUGAUCGGAGUCUGAAGUGAAGAAGAGAAAACAAGACAGCAGAGGAAACACCGGAGGAAUGUUUACUGAUGGAGAUCUCGCAGCUACAGCGAGAGAUGGGUACGAGGCCUUCGACUGCUCGAGAGCCGUGGCCCUCAUCGGCUUCCUCGGCCUCCUCUCCAACUUCCAGGACAUCAUAGACAACAUCGUCAACAACAACGGACGGCGAAAACGAAGACGCAUCGCAAGCGCACCCGUUCCCGAAACCCGACUUUGG